GCUCACGCUGUGUGCUGUGUGUGCCCGAGUAGCAGGUCCUGUCUCUGACCCAGGAGUGCCAUGUCUUCCGCCGGCAUCCAGGGAUCGGUGAUGAGUUAAAUUGCCGGCUCCUGAGUUAGAAAGAGACUUAGAGUCAUCAGGGUGUGCGUGCCGGGUGAAGCCACGGGUAUAGAUAGCAUUGCCUAGGACGAGGUCGGGGGCUGCCCAGGGCAGCAGCAACAGGGGGUCAGAAAGGGAGCUUCCAGAGGACCUCAAGCAAGAAGCCUGGAGGAGAGCAGCUCCCUGAAGGCCAAGGGAGUGGAGUUUCCAUCCAAAGAGAGAAGGCGGCACGAUCCGAAGCUGCUUAAGCAAGAUGAAGACUGAACGUGGCCACUGAAUUUAGCAACUAGGUCACUGGCAAGAGACGUUUCAAUGAAGCCAAGCUGGAGUGGGUGAGAAAUGAAUGGACUCAAAUACAAGGUGUUUCCAAAGAACUUGGCUGAAAAGGAAAGAGAGAUGGAGGAAAGAGUUUUCUUUCUAAAUAGAUGGAGCUCUCCGCAGAGUAUAUCCUGAGGAGAACGAGCCAGAAAAUCAGAGAAAUUGCGGGGAGAAAUUUAAGAGCAAGGAGAAGGAUGGAAGCAGGUCCUGAGGAAGAGGAGAGGAGUGGUUCUCAGACCCCAUGAGGGAUGGCCUGGGCCCUCCUCCACCUACCGAGCCUUUCACCAGCCACACCUCCUCCAGCCGGCCAACCUGCCAGCCUGGGCUGCAGUCUGUCUGGAGCCUCCUGUCCCGAGGGAAGGGCCUGGUCACAGGUUCUCCAGUGGCCGCCUUGCCUGGUGGUCCUGCAGGUUAGAGGUGGGAGGCACAGGAGUGUUUCCCAGCCUGCAGUCUCUGGAGAUGCCAACAGGACCCUUCUCCGGAAGUGUGAGCAAGAACAAAAGAAGACAUCUGGAUGUUUCAGAUCCUUUGAGACUAACGUGUAAGCAAAGACUCUCCCUAAGGACAUGCACUCAGCACCCACCACAACC
rnacentral:lncRNA from 1 species